rfam:Rattus norvegicus chromosome 4, whole genome shotgun sequence.
GGGGAUUUAGCUCAGUGGUAGAGCACUUGCCUAGCAAGCACAAGGCCCUGGGUUCGGUUCCCGGCUCCG